rnacentral:piRNA from 1 species
UGGGGAGGUUAAUUCUCAGUGUGGCC